rnacentral:rRNA from 1 species
ACGCGAAGAACCUUACCAGGUCUUGACAUACUCGUGCUAUUCCUAGAGAUAGGAAGUUCCUUCGGGACACGGGAUACAGGUGGUGCAUGGUUGUCGUCAGCUCGUGUCGUGAGAUGUUGGGUUAAGUCCCGCAACGAGCGCAACCCCUAUUGUUAGUUGCCAUCAUUAAGUUGGGCACUCUAACGAGACUGCCGGUGAUAAACCGGAGGAAGGUGGGGAUGACGUCAAAUCAUCAUGCCCCUUAUGACCUGGGCUACACACGUGCUACAAUGGGUGGUACAACGGGUCGCGAGACAGUGAUGUUUAGCUAAUCUCUUAAAACCAUUCUCAGUUCGGAUUGUAGGCUGCAACUCGCCUACAUGAAGUCGGAAUCGCUAGUAAUCGCGGAUCAGCACGCCGCGGUGAAUACGUUCCCGGGUCUUGU